rnacentral:rRNA from 1 species
GAUGAACGCUGGCGGCGUGCCUAAUACAUGCCAGUCGAGCGAACAGACGAGGAGCGUGCUCCCCUGACGUUAGCGGCUGACGGGUGGGUAACACGUGGAUAACCUACCUAUAUGACUUGGAGAACUUCGGGAAACCGGUUCUAAUACCAGAUCAUAUGUUGAACCGCAUGGUUCAAUAGUGAAAGACGGCUUUCCCGUUUCUAUUAGAUGCAUUCGCGCUGCAUUAGCUAGUUGGUAAGGUAACAGCUCACCAAGGCAACGAUCCGUAGCUGACCGGAGAGGGUGAUCAGCCACACUGGAACUGAGACACGGUCCAGACUCCUACGGGAGGCAGCAGUGGGGAAUAUUGCGCAAUGGGCGAAAGCCUGACGGAGCCACACCGCGUGAGUGAAGAAGGUCUUCGGAUCGUAAAACUCUGUUAUUAGGAAAGAACAGAUGUGUAAGUAAAUAUGCACGUCUUGACGGUACCUAAUCAAAAAGCCACGGCUAACUACGUG